UAGGGAAUAUUGGACAAUGGGUGAGAGCCUGAUCCAGCCAUGCCGCGUGCAGGAAGAAGGCGUUAUGCGUUGUAAACUGCUUUUUGCCAGGGGAUAAAAAGACCGUGCGCGGUUAAUUGAAGGUACCUGGUGAAUAAGCCACGGCUAACUACGUGCCAGCAGCCGCGGUAAUACGUAGGUGGCAAGCGUUGUUCGGAAUUACUGGGCGUAAAGCGUACGUAGGCGGUGACUCAAGUCAGAGGUGAAAGCCUGGAGCUCAACUCCAGAACUGCCUUUGAAACUAGGUCGCUAGAAUCACGGAGAGGUGAGUGGAAUUCCGAGUGUAGAGGUGAAAUUCGUAGAUAUUCGGAAGAACACCAGUGGCGAAGGCGGCUCACUGGACGUGUAUUGACGCUGAGGUACGAAAGCGUGGGGAGCAAACAGGAUUAGAUACCCACGUAGUCCCUGAGCGGGCUGGCAAGGCGCAU
rnacentral:rRNA from 1 species